UACAGAGGUGGCAAGCGUUGUUCGGAAUUACUGGGACGUAAAGGGCGCGUAGGCGGCCCACUAAGUCGAACGUGAAAUCCCCGAGCUCAACUGGGAACUGCGUCCGAUACUGGCGGGCUUGAAUCCGGGAGAGGGAUGUGGAAUUCAGGUGUAGCGGUGAAAUGACGUAGAUAUCUGGAGGAACACCGGUGGCGAAGGCGACAUCCUGGGACCGGUA
rnacentral:rRNA from 1 species